AAUAGCGUAUAUUAAAGUUGUUGCAGUUAAAACGCUCGUAGUCGAAAUCAGAUUCUUGCAUUGUUGGUCUACCGGAAGGUGUGUACUGAUUCGCGGGUUUCUCCGUUCUGUCGAUCUUCUGGCCUUAACUGGCUGGGAGGGAUACGGAACCAAUUACCUUGAAUAAAUUAGAGUGUUUCAAGCAGGCAUUAUAGCCGGAAUACAUUAGCAUGGGAUAACAGAAUAGGGCAUUUGCUCUUCUUGUUGGUAUGGGAGUAUUUGUAAUGAUUAACAGGGGCGAUCGGGGGCAUCCAUAUUUCAUUGUCAGAGGUGAAAUUCUUAGAUUGAUGAAAGAUGAACUACUGCGAAAGCAUUUGCCUGGGACGCUUCCAUUGAUCAAGAACGAAGGUUAGGGGAUCGAAGACGAUCAGAUACCGUCGUAGUCCUAACUGUAAAUGUUGUCGACCAGAAAUCGCGGAACGUUACUUGGAUGACUUCUGCAGCAUCUCCAGGGAAACCAGAGUUUUUGGAUUCCGGGGGGAGUAUGGUCGCAAGGCUGAAACUUAAAGGAAUUGACGGAAGGGCACACCAGGAGUGGAGCCUGCGGCUUAAUUUGACCCAACACGGGAAAACUCACCGAGUCCAGACACAAUAAGGAUUGACAGACUAAUAGCUCUUUCUUGAUUUUGUGGGUGGUUGUGCAUGGCCGUUCUUAGUUGGUGGAGUGAUUUGUCUGGUUAAUUCCGUUAACGAACGAGACCUCGAUUUCUAAAUAGUUUUGCGAAACUCUGCCUGGUGAAGAGGGGGGGCGUGGUAGGAGCCUAAAAACUUCUGCUGCCUCCUUCGUGGAUCCUUGAUGUUUUUGUGGGAGCUUCUUAGGAAGACUACUGGGGAUUACCCAGUGGAAGUGAGGCAAUAACAGGUCUGUGAUGCCCUUAGAUGUCUCGGGCUGCACGCGCGCUACACUAGAAGACGCACAAAGUAUUGAUUAACUAGUUCCAGGGGGCCGGUUAAUCUCCAGCGUCGACUGUGCUGGGGAUACAUCAUUGUAACUAUUGGUCUUGAACGAGGAAUUCCUAGUAAGCGCAAGUCAUCAGCUUGCGUUGAUUACGUCCCUGCCCUUUGUACACACCGCCCGUCGCUCCUACCGAUUGAAUGAUCCGGUGAAAACUUCGGAUAUUGGCGAGUCAACUGGGGGAGGCGACUCUCUCAGCCUUGCGUGGUAGAAGUUGUUUAAACCAAAUCAUUUAGA
rnacentral:rRNA from 1 species